rnacentral:rRNA from 1 species
GCGACCGUUGUCGGUGCCGUAGGGAAGCCGUGAAGCGAGCCACCUGGGAAGUACGGCCGCAAGGCUGAAACUUAAAGGAAUUGGCGGGGGAGCACCACAACGGGUGGAGCUUGCGGUUUAAUUGGAUUCAACGCCGGAAAUCUUACCGGGACCGACAGCAAUAUGAAGGCCAGGCUGAAGACUUUGCCGGAUUAGCUGAGAGGGGUGCAUG